AUUUAAACUUCGUUUUAAUGAAGUAAAAUUGUCUUACCAAUGAAUAGACAAACUAAAUUUGUCUCCGAAGCCAAAAAAGAUAGUUUUUUU
rnacentral:lncRNA from 1 species